rfam:Felis catus isolate Cinnamon breed Abyssinian chromosome C1, whole genome shotgun sequence.
UUUGCAUUAAUGAAGACUACACAGAAAACCUUCAUGAGGAUUUGUGUGGAUCUGAUGAUAUUUAGCAAA